rnacentral:rRNA from 1 species
GAUGAACGCUGACAGCAUGCCUAAUACAUGCAAGUCGAUCGAACAGCCGUGGUUCUUGCUCCUCGCACGUUCGGGGCGGACAGGUGAGUAAAACGUACUUAACCUACCUAUAGGACUGACAGAACGUCGGGAAACCGGAGCUCAUACCAGGUCAUGUGUUGACACGCCUGGUUCGAUGAUAAAAGACGCUUUUGCUGUCCCUUCUAGCUUGAUCCGCGGCUCGUUAGCUAGUUGGUCACGUAACGGCUUACCAAGGCCACGAUGCGGAGCCGACAUGAGAGGGUUAGCGGCCCCACUGGAACUGAGACACGGUCCAGAGGCCACUGGGAGGCAGCAGUAGCGAAUAUGCCGCAAUGGGCGAAAGACUGACGGAGCAACGCCGCGUGAGUGAUGAAGGUAUUCGGAGCGUAAAAUGCUGUUAUUAGGGAAGAACAAAUGUGUCAGCAACUAUGCACGUAUUGACGGUACCUAAUCAGAAAGCCACGGCUAACUACGUG